GAACUUUCAGAGAUGGAUUGGUGCCUUCGGGAACUCUGAGACAGGUGCUGCAUGGCUGUCGUCAGCUCGUGUUGUGAAAUGUUGGGUUAAGUCCCGCAACGAGCGCAACCCUUAUCCUUUGUUGCCAGCGGUUAGGCCGGGAACUCAAGGGAGACUGCCAGUGAUAAACUGGAGGAAGGUGGGGAUGACGUCAAGUCAUCAUGGCCCUUACGAGUAGGGCUACACACGUGCUACAAUGGCGCAUACAAAGAGAAGCGACCUCGCGAGAGCAAGCGGACCUCAUAAAGUGCGUCGUAGUCCGGAUUGGAGUCUGCAACUCGACUCCAUGAAGUCGGAAUCGCUAGUAAUCGUGGAUCAGAAUGCCACGGUGAAUACGUUCCCGGGCCUUGUACACACCGCCCGUCACACCAUGGGAGUGGGUUGCAAAAGAAGUAGGUAGCUUAACCUUCGGGAGGGCGCUUACCACUUUGUGAUUCAUGACUGGGGUGAAGUCGUAACAAGGUAAGCGUAGUGCU
rnacentral:rRNA from 1 species